CCAAUAGCGUAUAUUAAAGUUGUUGCAGUUAAAAAGCUCGUAGUUGAAUUUCGAGACCGGUUUACUGGUCGUGCUUUUGUACGUACUGGUAUAAUCGGUUUCUCUCUUCUGACGAACUAUAAUGCCAUUAAUCUGGUUGUUAUAGAGAAUCAGGACUGUUACUUUGAAAAAAUUAGAGUGUUUAAAGCAGGCUCACGCUUGAAUACAUUAGCAUGGAAUAACAAAAUCGGGCGUUUGAUUCUAUUUUGUUGGUUUCUAGGAUCGACGUAAUGAUUAAUAGGGAUAGUUGGGGGCAUUAGUAUUCAAUUGUCAGAGGUGAAAUUCUUGGAUUUAUUGAAGACUAACUACUGCGAAAGCAUUUGCCAAGGAUGUUUUCAUUAAUCAAGAACGAAAGUUAGGGGAUCGAAGACGAUCAGAUACCGUCGUAGUCUUAACCAUAAACUAUGCCGACUAGGGAUCGGAUGAUGUUAAUAUUAAUGACUCAUUCGGCACCUUACG
rnacentral:rRNA from 1 species